GGAUGUCACAGCGAUCUGGCUGUGGUGGUACCUGUCACCCUAUUGAUCACCAGGGUUGAUUCGGCGGAUCUGGCCAGCUAGGCAGGUGUCCCCUUCCUCCUCUGCCACUCCACGAGUGUCCCUUCCAAAGCUGCACACCUGAUCAAAGAGGAUCACCCUUCCCAAAUAAUGGUCUUCAGUCAAGGGUUUAUGACUGGCUGCACUCCCCUGCUGCUCCAAACACGCUCUCAAUUCGGGUCCAAACCACUCAUGGCUCAUUCCUCCAUUCAUCCCACAGCCUCUGACUCAGAGGAGGGCAGAAACUGACCCAGCCAGGAAGGUCACAAACAUCAUCU
rnacentral:snRNA from 1 species